CUCGCUCGCCGUGUCCACGUCAGCUUCAGUACACGCCAAUGCAUAAAUAGUGCCAACGCACAAAUAGUGCUUUCAGUUCCGAUUGGGUGCUGUAUGUUGGACCGAUCGAACACCUCCCCCGGGAGGAUUUGCCUUCCCCACGAAGGCAAACCACUUCCUCGCCUCCUCCAUCUCUUCCCUCGCCGCAACCACUCCCUGCUGUUCUUGGCCGCCUCCCCGCCCCGCACGCCGCGCCGCACCCCCUCCCCCUUAUCUCUGGCCCAUGGUGAAGCAACGCCGCGUCCCUCACCGAGCUGCACGCCAUCUGGCUGGAAGCCAGAGCUCGAGCUCGACGCCUCCAGCGCCCCCGACGAUUUCCGUGUGGAUCCGGUCUCUAGGCUGCCAAUCUUUUCGGAUGUAGUUAGCCAGCGGGCUCGAAUCUGAACGAGAUAAGCGAUGUGGGUAGCCAACGAAGAGACAAGAUUCGUCAGUGCCGGCGCAUUUGGAUGGCGGCGGCACCAUUACGUAAGAUGCCAAUAGCAGAGAUAGCGAGCUGGUGCAGUCCGAAGAGUGUAGUGAAGCCGGAUCCGCAAGCGUCCAGGAGGAUUAAAUUGGGUAAUCCACCAGAGCAAUAGGAGGAUGGGAGCUGAGGCCUGAUCGGGAUGCAGCGCCCGUCCCGGUCCCUGCUGCCGUCGGAGAGGCGAGGAUGUCGUCGGCUGCGCCAUAGCAGCUCGGCGGUUCCAUGAAUAGCGGGGCGACCUCCGCCGCCGCCACGCUGCUGCACGGCUAAACACCCCCAGCAUGAAUGGGGAUGGGUAUGACAGUGACAACAGCUACAACGCCACGCGGCCCAUGAGUACCCAACUACCUGCUCUCCUGUAGGCUGUAGCUACUUCGUUUUGUUCUGUUUGACGGACUACUACUACUUUGUGUACCUGUUUUGAUUUUGGCAUAACGAUUAGAGUAAAUAGUGUUUUGCUGCUGAGCAUUGCGUGUUUGUUCUCUCAAGUUGUGAGUUUUCUAAUGUUGUUUCAUAACGAAAAAGUUUUCCCAGACUGGUGGAAAGAGGAGAAAGGUUGGGGUUCAGACGGAUACUUGUUUAUUUUUCAGGGUUAAUGUCACUAUUCUAGCUUCUUGCUGUUGCAGGUUGUUGGCCUGCCCAUGGUACUAGAGCUGUCAUGGGUGCUUGGUUUUGCAGGUUGGAUUCCGGAGAUCGACAACCUGAAGGCCGGCGGAGAUUGGUGCCCGCCUGUUCUUAAUUUGAAACUCGGUGGUUGAUUCAUAGGAAUCGUUACCAAGCCCACACUCUCCUGUACCUAAUUGUCAUUGUCACCUCGGUGGUUGAUUCAUGAGAAUCUUUACCAAGCCGGUGAGGAUGACUUGAGUUUGGAUGAUGCUUCGUUCUUCUCCUACUUCUAAUUUUCUCCUCUUUACCACUACUUGUCACUCGGUGCCAUUCCGUUCAUCAUCGUGGUUACUAAUAAUGCAGUGUCAUGACCGUGUAAUUCAAUUUUUUGAUUAUUCAAAUUCUGAUAGCACUAGAAAAUAUUUUCUAUUUGCAUACCUUGACUGUAAGUAUCAUUUAUGUUUUUUCUUGGUUGAAGUAUUAUUUAUGUUUUGAUAAGCAAGCCUGUUAUGCAUGAUGUGUUUCCUGUUAUGUGCAAGUUUUAUUUUACUGUUAUCUCUUGGUUGGGAAUACAUGCAAAUGAAGUUGCUAGCUUUCCUUUUUCUGGUAA